CGUUAGGAUUCACAGCUCACGUAUCGCGUUCUGCCUCUUCCUUGCCACGAGUUCCUCACGCAGCCACAGCCGCUGCCUUUUCGACCUUGUCGUCUCCCACGCACUUUCACUCUCCUGCUCCGGCCAGUCGCCCUCAUCUCUCUCUCGCUGCCUCCCUUGUCUCCCUCCCUCACUGCGUCUGCCCUCUCGCUCCCUCUCGAGCCCCUCCCUACCUGUGCGUGAACGCCAGUGCGGACGAGGGAACCGCAAGGUGCGAGAGCGAGGCUGCCGGCUGCUGAGAUCCCUCCAGUUGCAGCCCAUGGUCCACCUGUAGCUGCCGCGGCUCAAUUUCAAUUUGCAGAUCUAACUAUCUGCCAGACGAAACACCCACCCGCUGCUCGAUUGCAAUUUGCAGACCAUCACUAUAGACUGAUUUUGAUGUGGUUGAAGCAGUCGGGUCGAUUGAGAGACGGAGAAGAAGAAUUCUGAGGAUCGCUGGAACUUCCCUUGCUCCACCUGCUCCACUCCUAUUUUUCAUCUUCUUCUUCUUCUUCUCUCAUUCUUCCAUACGUUCACCAAGUGGCAUGUGGAACAUAAUGGUUGGCCUGAACACAUACAGUCAAAUCACAUGAUGUGUAUUUUUUUAUGAACCAUUAUGUCUUGGAGGGCUGUAGCUUCCUGGUUUUUUUUUGUUCCUCAAUGUAGUCCUUGAAGGAGGAGAAUUCCAAAACUUUUUAUGCGUUUCUGCAUUUCUCACCACUUCUAACAUCUAUUAUUUGCUGCAUAUCUCUAGAGCUGGUAACUUUGUUUCUAUACUAAAAUACGUUAGCACCACUCUUUCACAUUUGUGUGAUCAUGGCAUUGUCAGGUUGUAAAUGCUUGAUGGUUCUCUCAUACUUUUCUUCCUUAAAGUUUUCGUUAUUUAUUUAUGCUUCCUUUUUAUGAUCUAUUAUAGGUUACUUGAUGUGUAAGGAAUAAUUAUUUAUCAUGUCUCAACUAAAUGAUGUUUUGUCCAAAACAUUCACCACAUUGAUCAUGUCUAUAAAAAAUGUAUUGGAUUAAAAAUUGGAGAAUUUGUUGGCUUUCUUGUUGCCAUGCUGCCUACUUUCUGCCUCUGAAGUAAGCUGUGUGUAACUGCAUCAAAAUUUAUGUGUCUGACAUGAACUUGGGUUUAGUUGCAUCUCGGAUUUGGUUUAGAUCGAAAUGGUGCUCCUAUUUGGAGUUUCUUGAAAUGCAAUUGCAAUACCUGAGUUCUGCUAGAUUUUAGUAGGUUAACAAAUAUAUUUUAUAACACAAUGCACCUCCUGGAUCUUUUUUCACUUCACAGAACAAUACCUGAGUUCUGCAAGAUUCUCGUUCAUUCUGUUGGUACUAGAGACAGAUAUACAACUAUAGAGUUAAAGCUUCCAACUUUUGCCCUCUCCAUGGACCAUGACCACGAAUCCUGAUCUCCUCUCUCUCUCUCUCCUUAAAGAAAUUCAGCUUUUGCCUUUUCGUUUUUCUGUUUUUUGUUACCACCUCUUUGGAAUUGGCUCUCCAUUAAGACAAUGAGUGAGGAAUCACUAGGUUAUCUUCAUUUUCCAUUGCAAUCUGCAAUAGUAACAUUGUUCAAUAAUGCUUCUUUGUCCUUGUAUCGUUUCUAGUAUUGUUCCAUUCAGCCAAGGUUUCACUCAAUGAUGCUGGAAACCAGUGUGACUGAGGAUAUUCAAAAGGGAAAUGAAUUUCAUUUGUUUAUUAGGCCAUCACCAACUCAAAAGUUUGGGUAGGGCUGUUAGACAGAAUGCGAGCCUCAAUCUACUUUUGCGGCUCAUGCCAUAUGUGCAAGAAAUGAAACAUGCCUAAAGAGUACCGUGUUGGCAUGGGCAUCCACUUGGAAUGAAAGGUGCCUCCACAACAUGUUGGGGAAAACAACCAUGUCUCUAUAAUAUUGGCAUUGAUACCAUACAUUGGUAUCUCCAAGUUGUUAUAUCUACAACAGUGAUAUGGAUUUUCUGAACACUAGGGCCAUAUUUUUUGUUUACUCCCUCAAAAGUCGAUUCUCAUAUGUGUACCCGAUAUUUAUUUUUAUCCCGUCCUCGCAAAAUUUAUGACAUCUCAAAAGUUCAUGUGAUGAUAAACAUUAUCUUGUAGACGAUAUAUAGAAAAAGGCAUUGAUGUUAUUUACCUUUCAUAAGAAAGAAAUUUAACAUCAAGUAAUUGAAUAUCAUGAUCACUUUGUCUCAUCCUCUCCGCCGAUCGUAUGUACUACUUUUGACUAAUGUCAAUGUUAUUUAAAAAGAAGGUCGACAAAAGAAUGUUGGAAUGUACUAGAUACCAAUUAAAAGCUAAAAAUCACAAUUUUGAACAUUUUGUAUUAGUAGCAUAGCGUCAUGAUAUGAUCUGCAAGUGCAACACGCAUCAGCAUGAGGAUGCUUUCACCAUACUAUGGUUCUUGUUUAUCGACAUUGUUUUAGAAGGAAAAGAGGUUGUGUUCAAUAACAUUGAAUAUCAGACACGAUGCAGAUUUAAAAUCCCUUUUAUGUGGCAUCCAUAGUAUAAACAAACACCAGAUUUUACCACUAUGUAGAGAAAAGACUUGAGACCCUUAUUUAUGACCAAAACGUUGUGUAUAUGGUCAGGGGGGAGGGGGUCUGACCUACUAUAUGCGGAUUUAGAUUCCCAAAUAUCUCAAAUAAAGGGGGAUUUAGUUUGGAUUAAAAGAAAUUGGAUACGAAUUGGAUUCAGAUAUGACUUAAAAGUAGGAUUAGAAUCAGUUUUGGAUAUGACAUAGUCAGAUUUGGAUUGGAUUCAAAUGUGAAUUAAAAAAUCAGAUUCAAAUAUGACAUAGGCUCUUCGUGAUCUGCAUCCAAAUAUAAAUCCGAGCAUGUAAACGUUUGAUAAAUCAGAUAUGGCAAAUAGUACAUUCAAUUUGAAUCUAACAGGAUAUGGUAAAGAGUAAAUUCAAUUCAAAUUUGAUCCAUUGACAUUCCUAAGAUAGAUAAGAUAGAAGAUUCAAAAUACAGAUAGGAGAUUAAAAAGAGUUAGGACUGCAGAGUUUGCAUGGACACAGAUGUGCCGAGUUUGCACUACCGCUCAAGGAAGAAAAGCUUGUGCCCUAAACUAGACGUAGCGGUGUCGAGUUUGCACUACUGCCCAAGGGAGAAAAGGUUGCACCCUUUCAUCCUUUGUUUUGAAUUUUGAUGUUCCCAAGUAUCGCACUUCAAUCUAGAUAGAUAUAUUUUUAUGGGAAUUAGAACCAAAAGAAUUAUUUAAUUAGAUAGACUAAAACCACUGAACAUACUUAAAUGUUAAUGGCAAAAAUAUACAUCUUUUAAUUAUACUAUAACCACUGAGCAUACUUAAACGUAAAUGGCAAAAAUAUGCAUGUUGACAUAUUUCACAGUUCAUUCCUGUGUUUAGCCGGGACAUUGUGGCAAGCACAUGGUCUACGGCUUAUGCUAAGUUCAUUCAGUACUAAAACUUAGCAAAAUUGAGACAAAAUGACAAUGUGGUUCAAUAUCGAUUCUCAAACUUCAUAUAUAUAUAUAUAUAUAUAUAUAUAUAUAUAUAUAUAUAUAUAUAUAUAUAAUAUUAUUAUUUCAAACAUGGAAUUAAUAAAAUGUGAACUACAAACAGCAAGUUACACAAGAACAGAAAAAAAGAUCAAUCUCAAGAGAGGGAGACUCUCUCUCCUAGGAUAUCCUGCUGCUGCUUGAGCUCGCAGGCGGGAGGAGACUGGGGGCUGACCCCCAACGCAGCAAUCUCACGGUUAGCCCAAUGAUUAUUGUCAUGGAGACCUUUUUUAGGAGCAUCAAAGGUAAGAUGACUAACAAAAUUAUCAUUCCUCCUCACGUCCCUAGGCUGGGGAGAACUCCUGCUAUCCUUGCUUUCACAGAUGAUGUCCUCUUGUUUAGCACUGCCUGCCCCUGGUCUAUUCACCGAAUUAAGGUGUCGCUGCAGCGCUUGGAGGAGCAUGUCAGGUUGAAAAUCGAUGGUGACAAAUCUUCCAUUUUCCUCUUGUCCUCAACCUCCAUGAGCGAAUCUGAAGGCAUUUUUUCCAUAUUGGAGUGGAAGCGUGGCACCCUCCCUAUGCCCUGCCUUGGACUCCCAAUGUAUGGGGUAGGAGGCUCAAGUAGGAUUGGUGUUAGCCCCUCCUGGAUAAGGUGAACAAGCGGCUUGCAAGUUGCAACGUGGAAAUCGACGAUUCGCGGGGAGGCUAUAUCUUUAAAGCACGUGCUAACAUGUGUGAUUAACUAUUGGGGAUGGGAUUUUGUCUUGCCUAUACCUUGCAGUUUAAGAUGGCGAACUUUCUAUGGGGAGCUGGCGAAAAUGUUAAGGGGAAGCACCAAAUUGCAUGGGCUAAGCUCUGCAGGCUGACGUUCGAAGGUGGUCUGGGCCUCAAGAGAUUGGAGAACAGGUCCUCAGCUCAGCUUGCUAGAUGGGCAUUCUCCAUUUGUGAAAAAAUGCCAUUUGGUCAAAGUUCUGUUACAAGAAGUAUGCUGCACUAUGAGGAAUGUGGUCCGCCAGAUCAAGUACCAAACAUUCGUGGUUCUUCAAGCACUACUUCAAAGCCUGGUGCCAAAUCAAAGAUAAGGUAAUCUGGCAGCUCGGUCAAGGCGAUAUGAUGUUCUGGUUUGAAAAAUGGAGCAAUGUCACCCUCUUUGAAAACCUGGAGGCCGAGGAGAGGUAUCUCUUGGAAGGCUCCAAAAGAAUGACUGUCAAGGAGGUUCUGGAUUCUGAAUUAAAUCCUCGUUCCUGAAUUCUCAAACCUGCUGCAGAGGCUGCAAUUAGAGAAACCUCAACUGAGACCUGCAUCCGACGAGCUUGUUUAUGAUGGGGCUCCGGUCAAGGGGCUCAAAAUGUGUGAUAUAUGGGAAUCAGAGUUAAGGGGGCAGAGGAAGAGUGGAGAGCUCACCUAUGGAAUAAGGAUGCGCACCCGAGAGCCAGAUGGUUCACCUUCCUUGCUUGUCAGGGCAGACUCCCAACCUUUUAUAGGCAAAAAAGGAGGGGGCUGCAUCUCGCAAACAAGUGCUUAAUAUGUUGCUCUACUGAAGAAUCUAGCGCCCAUCCUUUUCUUCAGUCGUUUGGCCUGUAGGACAUGGCGUUUGGUAGCCAGCAGGUUGGGCGUAAUGGUUGUGGUGGCAGCAACAUUGUUUCGGAGUUGAAAAGGUGGUACAGUUGCAGCUUCAAGAGAGGCUGGGUAAUGCGAAGCUAGAGACUAUGUUUCCAAGAAGUGGUUUGGGCUACCUGGGACUGGCGAAAUGCCCAUGUCCAAGGCGACGCCAAUGAGCAACUCUUUGUCAUGCGCAAUCAGUUUUGGCUUCAUUGCAUUUCCAGUUUUGAAGCUUGUUUCUUGAACAACCCUAUGGCUAUGGACAACUUGAGAUGCUAGAUUAACUCUGGCAUCAUUCCUGGUAGAUGGGAGACUGUUUGGACGGAGGAGGGACAAAUACAGAUAGCCUCCAAAAAAAUCCAAGGUGGCCCUUGGGUGGCUGCAAGUAUUAAAUGGCCUGAACCUGAGGGGCAGAAAUAAUUUGAGAAGGAAAUGCUGCGUUUCAUUCUUAUCACUUCAAUUUUUGGGGGUGCACUACGAUUGCAAUAGGUUGUAACAACAAAUCCUGGACUAAGUAGCUCAGUGGGAGGCUGGAGAUGGAAGGUGGACGUCUUGGAUUCCCCAUCCUUUUUCAGGAGACUGCUUGCUCUUUUCGCAUAGUCAAACGAGAACCCAAUUGCUCACAUAAUCUCGCUUUUACCGCUGUAGUGUACUGCUUGGCCUCCCUCGUCAGCAGCAAUUUUGUAUUUCCUGAUAUAUUACCUGUUUUUCGUAUAUCAGCCUUAAUAAAAUUGGAGUCCAACUCCAGCAGGUUUGA